AGGAAGCAAAGGGCCAAUUAACGGAAACGCGAGAACAGUCACGUAUAUUUUGACAUGAGGCUUCCUCAUGAUAUUUCGAAAUUACCUGGAUCCUACGACCUCGAGAGAGAGAGGUGAAUAUCAUGAGCAUUGAUGAAUAUAAAUCUUAUGCAACGUUUUAUUGAUUUCUGACGUAAUACGAGCAAAAGACUGGGUAGAUGAUACGGGAAAAACGUAUGGGUUACUAUACAUAGGAUUGAAAACCGCGAAGCAUCUAUUCACAGUUUGUGUUCACGCGAUGCUCGCAUGGUUACAAGUUCGAUGUUUGAAAAAUCCUACCCGGACCCGGUCAUUUUCUAAUUUCCUAGCGUGCAAUCUUGAGUGGACGUUGGUCCAUUGAUUAGAGGUUCCGGCGAGGUUCUCUUAUCUUCGCCUUUUUUCAUCAUGUACUCAUUAUCGAAAUAGCGAGCGAAAAAAUUAGACUGCAUGCAAAAAAAUGACUUCCAUUGCUAUUCCUUAAAUUUGUUAAACAUAAUUAAUCUGUCACCGUGAUGCAUUGAGGAUUAGUGACUUACCGACUCUGGAUAGCAAAAAAACAUGAAAUAAGAAAUUCGUAUUGGAUUGCGAAUAAGAAUUUCGCAAUUGAUGGAUGUCAAAGAGUUGUCAAAUACGGUGCCGACAUUCGACAAUUUUCAGAAAUUUUGUGGAUUUAUCGCGUCACGCUAGACAAAAUAAAAUUAUGUAAUUCCAUCAGAGACGCUGUCUGCCUAUUUUGACCUUUCCGAGUAAUAGAUAUAGGCUUCAAGAAUCCAAACAUAAUGACCACAUAAGGAAGAAAACAGUCAUCGUAUAAUUAUCUUGUUGAUAUCUGUAGCAUACAUGAAAAUCAAGGAAUUAGUCAUUGUUUUGUCAAAUUCGCUUUUUUUUUUUAGUCUUAUCUUUUUUUUAAUGGCUAUCGUCUGUGCAAUAAUCGACAAUCCGUCGAUUAUUUAUCAUCAGGAAUUUGUUAAAAAACAUUAUCGAAACAAAGAAUAAGAAUUAUUCAUAUGAUUAUUUGUUUCUUGUUUUUUUUGAAAUAAUAGAAAUGAUAAGAUGCGAAACGUAAAGUAAAAUU